GGAUGAGCCUGUGCUGUCUUUCUCCUGGAUAUUGUCCUUUAACACUUAAGUCUGAAUGACAGACAAAAGGCUUGGGACACACUUUGUAGAGGUGAAAUGUAGGCUGUAGUAGUAUGUCAUCAGAUACAGCAAAGCUUCACCAAGGUUGUCUUUAAUUAUCUUGUAAUUAUUUGUGGGGAGAAGACUAUUUUAGAUAAUAAAAGUAAAGCUAAAGAUUUAGCUCAGCAUUUUGUUAAAGUCCAUAUUUCAGAGAAUUUUAGUGGUAAAGAAAGAAGAGCAAGAAGGAAGACAAUAACAAAUAAUGUACAUGGGUGUCAGGUUGCUGCGGUGGCUCUCUUCCUCUCACAGGUGGCUGCUGACCACUGGGCGGUGCUGAGCGCAGGUGUUCAACAUCAGCGCGGCUGCGGGGACGGCUUUAAAAGGAAGAGGCUGACUGCACCUCUUCGCCAGAGUGUUAACCAUACGUGGUGGAAAGCUCCAAAUCCCGCUUCGGAGUCCCUUGGGGAACUGUCCAGUCCUGAAGCUGAGCUGACCUCUCUCUGUCCAGCUCCGCUCUCCUGUCAUCUCAAUAAACUGAAGAUCACGCCGACCCCUGCACUUAACCGGCGCCCAGCAGUCAGCCGUCACCCCCGAUCCGCAGUCCGAUCACCGGAACCCAGCCAGCCCUCCACCUGUCAGCAGCCCCAGGAGCAACAGCCACCUGCUCCGCUGCUCACACCAGCAGCCUCCGCCCCCAAAAGCUCCGCAUCCUCCGCUCACUCUCCUCGGCGGUACGUCCUUCGCUCAGUGGUAAGAACCCGGUCACGUAUUAGAGGGACCCUACGUUUUCUGCGGCUCCGAAGGAAUCCCCGCGAUCGUUUUUCAUUAAUUUAAUAAACUUUGUUAACCGUC